rnacentral:rRNA from 1 species
UGUUGAGAGGGACGAAGGCUUGCGGGCAAACAGUCCGUACGCUUGACGGUACCUCGAGAGGAACGCCCCGGCUAACUCUGUGCCAGCAGCCGCGGUAAUACAGAGGGGGCGAGCGUUAUUCGGAAUUAUUGGGCGUAAAGGGCGCGUAGGCGGCCGAGCAAGUCUUGGGUGAAAUCCCUCGGCUCAACCGAGGAACUGCCUUGGAAACUGCUUGGCUCGAGGCCGGGAGAGGGUGGUGGAAUUCCCAGUGUAGCGGUGAAAUGCGUAGAUAUUGGGAGGAACACCAGUGGCGAAGGCGGCCACCUGGACCGGUCCUGACGCUGAGGCGCGAAAGCGUGGGGAGCAAACAGGAUUAGAUACCCUGGUAGUCCACGCCCUAAACGAUGGGUACUCGGUGUCGCGGGCAUCCAACCCCCGCGGUGCCUUAGCUAACGCGUUAACGUACCCCGCCGUGGGGAGUACGGUCGCAAGGCUAG